rnacentral:tRNA from 1 species
AAGGCUUUAGCUUAAUUAAAGUACCUGUUUUGCAUACAGGUGAUGUGGGUUAGUGUCCUGCAAGUCUUA